GCCGACCGGAUGGUUUGUGUGUCUGUCCGCCCGCCCGCCCGCCUUUCCUCCCUCCCUACGGGUCGGUGGCCGGGAUGGGAUCGCGUAGGUCCUCCCAGCGCCCUGCGGCCGCCAAGCGGAAAGCGGGGCCCGCCGCUGGAGGGGCUGAGGGGAGGCGGGAGGGGGCGCGGCGCGCGCGCCCCCCCCCAAAGGAGAGCUUCAACGGUCCGCGCUGGCUGCCGCCAUCUUGGACAGGCCCACUGCGCCUGCGCCCUGCUCCGCCCCCAAGGACUUGACUGUCUGCUGGCUUCCCUUCUGCAGGCCUUUCUACGACCAGCUGUCCAGCUUCGGCCAACAGCAAGCCUCCUACAACCGGCAGCAGGGCUAUGGCCAGCAACAAGAAAUGUACAACCAGAAGUAAAACUUUGACCAGCAGCAGCAAGCGCCCUAGGGCCUGAACCAGCCGUCCUACCCGGCCCAGCAGAAGGAGAAUUACAGGCACAGCGUGCAAGAUAGGGGCUAGACAACCGCCGUGACAAGGGGCGAUACGGGGAAGAUAACCGAGGGUACGGUGCGCCACGCAGAGGUGGGAGCAGGUUCAAUUCUGACGACAGAAGUCUCAUGUCCGGCAUAAGAUUUCUUAAAGGAGCACUGCUCAUUGGGUGCUGCAGGCCUGACGGUCGGGACAAUCAAAGCAUGAGAACACACUGAAAGUGGAGAGUCUUAGGAACAGAGGAAGCUGCUAUAUAUAGAGUCAGACCCUUGGUCCAUCCAGCUCAGUAUUGUCUACACAGACUGGCAGCGGCUUCUCCGAAGUUGACAUGAUGAUCUAUUGACUCCUUGGAAGGAUGUGAUUGUGCACAAGAAAGGCAUACCUCCUGAUGACCUACAGAGACCAAGUUCUGCAUGCACUAUCCUGCCACUGAAAUGAGCGGAACGUUCUGCUUAUGACACUGGACACAGGCCAGCUGUGAAUCACCCUCUCCCACAAAACCAAGGAACGGAGGCACAUGGAAACUCGUGAGAACGUGGGCUGUCCUGCUCUUCCGUGAGCCACUCUGCUUUCCUGCAUCAGUUCUCGAAGGAGACGGGGGCCCAGCUCCACACAAAGUGCAAAUUGCAGCCACCACCCCAACGCCUCGGAGGCUGUUAGCUUGGGAGAGGCUUCUGACUGGUGUGUCUGACCGGUCACUGUGAGCCACAUAUUUACCUGACUCAAGGUUUGUUUGGUGUGUGAACCUGGCUUUUUCAUAUUUAUUUCGUUUAUUUAUGAAAAUGUGCUUAUAUACUGCCUCCUCCAAGGACUCUAGGCGGUGAACAACAGCAGUACCAAUAACUAUUAAUGAAAAUGAUAAUAAUUAAAGGUGGGCCUUCAGAAGGACCUUAAAAGCAGCCAGGCAGGGAGCUAAUAUUAUAAUAUAAUAAUAAUAAAAAAUCUGAAGUCUUAGCCUCUCCAAAAGGCUGGCCCGCUUGCUGCCCUGAGGAGGCAUGGCGGGAUUCAUGUUGCUGGCUGCAGACAGCCUCCUCUUGCACAGCUGGUGGCGGAUCUGGGUGGGACAGAAGAAAGGGAAAACAGCCGUGAGUUGAUACUAAACCUUCAGAAUCCAGUGCUAUAUUACUAAAAUAAUUUAUUAUUAAAUUAUAAUAAUAAAAAAUCUGUGGCCUUACCCUUGCCAAGGGUAUGGCCGGCGUGCUGGCUGGACGAGGCAUGGCCACCAUCAUGCUGCUGGCAGUUGAUAUUUUCAGCUGGGAGAGCUGGUGGCUCAUCUGGGUGGGACAGAAGCAAGGGAAAACAGCCGUGAGGUGAUAGUGAGCCUUUGGAAUCCAGUAAUAAAUAAUAAUCUGAGGUCUUAGCCUCUCCAAAAGGCUGGCCCGCUUGCUGCCCUGAGGAGGCAUGGCAGGAUUCAUGUUGCUGGCUGCAGACAGCCUCCUCUUGCACAGCUGGUGGCGGAUCUGGGUGGGACAGAAGAAAGGGAAAACAGCUGUGAGUUGAUACUGAUCGUGGAGCCAAUGCUAAUUCCAGUCAGCUUCAACUGACCCAAUGCUAAUUUCGUGGUUUAUUGUUAAGGGGUUUUUUAAAUGAUACUUUUUUGAAGUUUUCUCAUGAAACACUGUAUGUUUCAUGACCAUCCUGCCACUGAAAUGAGCUGGAUGUACUGCUCUCUCUUUUUUGACACUGGGAUGUCCUCAGGGAAAAUCAAAAUACUUUUCCUACAGUUUUUUGGAUAAUAAUUCUGAUGAUCAGAAUACCCAAUUAUCAACAGAUAGCUGAUCUGCUACUACCACGCAUAUCUCUAUGCCACGUCUCAGCAAAGUCCUCAAAGUGUUUGACAUAAACAAAUCACUCUAAUAAACAAAUAAGAUGGUCCCCUCUCCCAAAAGGGCUCUCAAUCUAAGAGAGAUGCUCGGUAGAAACCAGCAAGAGCCACUGGUGGGAUUCUGUGCUGGGGCUGAAUCGGGCCAGUUCCCUGCUAAGAAGACUGAUCUGUGGUCUUACCUCGUCCAAAUCUCCUGUGGGUGGCUGAAUUGGAGCGGAUGGUCGUGCAGAAAUCAUACCCGAAAUGACCUGUUGUUGUGAGAUGUGGGUAGGACAGAAGCAAGGGAAGACAGGCUUAAGAUGAGACGUCAUGGCACCAAUAACUAUUAAUGAACAUAAUAAUAUUUAAAGGGCAAACGCCUGGUGAAACAGGUGGGCCUCCAGAAGGGGCUUAAAAGGAGCCAGGGAGGGGGCUAAUAUAAUAAUAUAAUAAUAAUAAAUCUGAGGCUGCACCUGCUUGCUGUCCAGAGGAGGCGUAGCGGGAUUCAUACUGCUGCCAGCAGAGAGUCUCCUCUUGGAUAUUGGAUGCUGCCUUGGAUAUGAUCCAUUAGGCAAGGGGAGACAAAGGGAUUGUCUUCAGAACCAGCCACUGAUGGUGUCUGCACUCAGGGUGGGAGAGGGCCAGGGAGGCUGUGGUGGCGGGAGAUUCUGCAAUUCCGUUCUGGACUCUCUCCGUACAACACACUCACGCGCUCUCUCUCUACCCCCCAUUCCCCAACUCUGUCUCAGAGGGGUACAAUCCAUUAGUCAAGGGGAUUGUCUUCAGAACCAGCCACUGGGGCUGGCUGUGCAAAGUUUUUACCCGACGCCAUCUUCACUUCCUUUUUUUGGUUUGAGAUCUGGGUGGGACAGAAGCAAGGGAAGGCAGUCCCACUGCCGGAAGUACUCAUGCUCUGUGCUCAGUGUUCUCCCUCGCCCGGUGGCGGAUCUUCAGGCGGAUCUGCAGAGUCCGCCCCCGCACUAGUGCUGUGCUCUCGCCAACCAGAGCUUCCUCCUGCACUGAUUUGGGAAGGAGAAUUUGGCUGCUGCCCCUUCCCUAGGUGACGGUGGGAGCUGAGAGGGAGACUGUGGCUUGCCUUUCAUUUCCUUCCGGAAGCACUCACAGGAUUCCUCACAGGAAUCGCGGCCGCUGGUUCCCUCUCCCCAAAGGGCUCAUCCUUAAAGAGAAAGGCUAGGUAGAAACCAGCAAGAGCCUGGGAUGCAGGAGGAGCUCGCCGUGGACCUGACUCUAAACUGAGUGGGGGUGACUCCCCCACCCCAAACUACCUUCAGAAAAGCUCCCCAUGGGGUGGUUUCUUGCUUUUGUGUUUUCUUUCUCCUAUGCCUACAUCUUCAACUGACCCAAUGCUAGUUUAAUGCUUUUUAAAGGGUUUUUUUUUAAAGAUGGAAGACGGCCCGAGGGAAUGGUUGGACGGGGAAGUUGCCAGCCGCCAUGCAAGCCGCGGGACGCCCUUCCGUCUCCACCAUAGACUGUCCCUAGCAGGGCAACCAGGGAGCAGAGAGACGGAGAGAGCAACAGAGAAGAGGGCGGAAACAGGACUAUCUGGGGGGGGGGAGCUGGUUCCUGGGAGUGCGGGCGAGCCGGACCCGAUCCAAGCUGUUACUGGACCCAAUCCAAGCUGUUACUGGACCUGAUCCUCCCUGGAGACAUGGUGGGAAUCCCCCUUGGUUUUCCUUGGCAGGUGGCUUCAGCGGGGGGAUUUGGAGGCUGGCAGGACAUAGUUGUGGCUCUUUGGAAAGGCUUUGUUGCUUUUUUGUGGGUGCUGGUGGGGGAUCUCCUGCUCUGUCUCCCACAGAUCAGUGGUAACUGUGAACUCUGCUCUCAGAUGAUGCAGACGGCUGGCGUCUUCAUGUCUGAAGUCGGGAGCUGGGUCCUGCACAAUCCAAAGAGCUAUCCCAGCAUGCAUUGUGUUGCCAGUAGAUUGGGGACCCUCGUGACAGAGCCAGCUGACCCCUGAUUGGCCCAGGAGAGAGGGCAUGCAGUGUGUGGACUUCCCAGAGGUAUCUGGUGGGACACUGUGGGAAACAGGAUGCUGGACUAGAUGGGCCUACUUGGGCUCCCCAUUCCCCCUGAAAGGAAAAUAACCUGGCAGCAACCCCGUGAAUUAACACUGGCCGAAUGGAUGGAUACAGCAGUCAGGCCCAUACCAACUGACUUUUUUAGAGCCUGGUUCUCUUUAAGGACAGUUGUCUUUCAUAUGCAGAAGGUACCGGGUUCAAAUCCUGACAGCAUCUCAGGUCGGGCUGGGAGAGACUCAUGCCUGAAAUUCAGGAGAGCAGCUGCCAGCCAGUGCCGACAAUACUGAGCUAGAUGGACCAAGCGUCUGACUCAGUAUAAGGCCAGUUCCAAUACUCUCUAAGGUUUCAGGCAGGAGUCUUUCUCAGCCCUAUCUAGAGAUGCUGCCAGGGAGGGAACUUGGAACCCUCUGCAUGCAAAGCAGAGGCUCCUCCACUGAAUUAUGGCCACCAUCCCAUGGCACUGAUAAGCUAGUUAAGGAUAGCACCAAGUGGCUAGUCUCCAUGCCAUCUCCAAGUCAGGUCUGGGUAGGUCCUUUAACAAGUGCAAGAGAAGAACGAAAGCAUCCGCUCUCUUCUCAAGAACAAACCACAGCUCAUCACAACAUACAAAUGAAGGGAAAUACGGUUUGUUCAGCAACUAAUUUGAACAAACCAGAAUAUUAGAGAUGUGCGAAUCGAUUCAAAUUCUUAUCUGGCCGAUUUGAAUGAUUCGAACUUGAAUUGGAUCGCCCCUAAAAAGGGCGAUUCGAUUUGAAUUUAAAUGGAAUCAACCAGAAUCUAAUUUGAAUCAAUUCAACGGCAGUUUAGAGACAUUUUGGCACCUUUAAAAAACCAUUCAGGGACCCUGAUUGGUCAAAGAAAAAGAGUGCCAAAAUAGCUUGAAUUGGUUCACAUUUGAAUCAGAAUCAAAUUUGAAUCGAAUCAACCUGUUUUGGGCCAAUUCGAUUUGAAUUUGAAUCAAAUUGGCCAGCUUCAAUUCAAAUUUCAAUCAAAUCUGAAAAUCUGAUUUGUGCAUAUUCAUACAUAAUAUCAGUCCAGCAUCAAAUUGUGGUUUGAUAUCCCAGUUUGUUUCAAGUACAGGGUGUUUCAAGUACCCAACCCACACCCCAGUUGCCUGAAGACCAGCCUGUUCGGGUCAGAGAUAGUCAUGUGACUUUUCCCUUGAGCAUCCGUUAAAACCUUAAGAUCAAAAUAAGAGUUUCCUCUAGCAGUGUAGAUCCAUGGAGAGAAAGAGAGAAAAUAAAGGACUCCCCGCUUACCAAGAACAACCUCAGCUGAGGUUAAGAGGACGGUGGCCAUGAGCAGGACAACCUGUAUGGCAACCACCGAGGUCUUCAUCUUUGCCGUCUGUGGUGGAGAGGGGGAAGCAUAGAGGCCUCGUUUAAAGUGAGCCCAAGGGCCACGUGCCCCAAACCAAUUCCUUAGUGCCACGGCUGCUGCCGGCUGAGUUUCCUCCUCCUCCUCCAGUAAGACCACGGCUUCUCCAUCUUCCUUUUGUGACGGGACAGAGGGAGGGAGAGAAAAGGAGGGAACAGAUCAGCUUGGCUACUCUUCCCCGCUGGAUGCCUUGUGCGAAGUGGUCAGCUGAGGUCCAGAAUCAGACCCUGGUGUCCUUUCCACCUUUGCCCGGGAGGACAAUGGGAUCCCCUCCCUUCUCUGUCCAGCAGAAGAUGGGAAGGAAGAGUUAGGGUUUGGAGCAGAGAUUUCUCAGAAGGGUUAAGACAGCAUUUGGAUUCUGAGGAUUGCGAGCCAAAACAUCCCGUAAUCUGGAGUCGCAACACCAAAGGCUUUUUGGAGUGCACCAGAUGAGGUAGUAGAAAACUGAUUCUAGAGUUGGCUUCUGGACCUCCCAGAGAGGAGCCUGGAGGUACGUAUCUCUGCCUAAGUGGGAGUGGCUGUGAGUCCAUCCUCUUCCUUUCAGCUGGCUGGUGGGCUCUUUGAAUUGGCUACAGGUUUAAAACCCUGCCUGAUGGACUCUCCUGUCUGCUCCCUCGAUUGCUCAAGCACACUGUAGGCAAAACGCUACCCUCCUCACUUUCUCCAUGCCCCAGGAACACGGCGUGAUUGAAAGGGAACAUCAUGGUCCGUUCCCCACCGUUGGUCUUUGCUGUAGGGGGGAGACAUGCAAAGCCGAGAUAUUGCAGAUAUGAUGGAAACCAGAGAUAGGACGCCUUCUACUCGGCACACGCCUAUGUGGGAUUAGGAAUAUGCUGGCUAGUCGCUAGAGGGAUUUCCUAAGGGAUGGUAGACUAGAAGAGCUCCAAGAUCCAGCCCAACUCUAGGGUUCCAAGGCGAAGGGUAAGCCAUGAGCCAGCCACCUAGCAGAGAGCUGGGACAAAUGGAAACUCCUGCAGUCUCUUUCUGCCAUCUCAAACCACUCUCCAAGAUUCCACUAACGAAAAGAUGGACAUCUUUUUUCACACUCGGUUCCCAGGAUUCAUGCCGAGGGUUGCUGUCUGAGUUCUCCACCCACCACAUUUGCACCAAGCUGGAAGAUGACUGGCCCAAAUGUUCAUCUGAGCCAGCUUUGCGCAGCACUAAUUGGCUAGCACCCAUGCCGCCACCAAACUACUUAUCGAGGAACCAAAUGGUGAGUACCCACCCAGGAUGGAACCCAGCCAGCUCCAGGCAGUAACAAGUGACUAGUGCCCAAUUACACCAAUAAGCAAGUUGAGGACAGUACCAAAUGGCUAGUACCUCUGACAUCUCCAAAUCCACUCUGGGCCGCACCAAUUGGUUACCACUCUUGAUGUCCCCAGGAUACCACCCUACCACUAAUCCCCAAAGAAGUCAGGCAACUGUUUUCAAAAUGCUUAUGUUUUAUUAUUUUUUUAUGAUGCGAAGAAUAAAUGAGCAAUCAAAGUGUACAUGUGGUUAUUAAAAACAAUAAAUAAUAAUAAUUCAAGGCAGCCAUCCGCUUUGAAGCUGUCCAUGACGAUGGAUAUAGCCUAGCGUUCAGCCUUGUAUAACUUCCUCCUCUCCUCCACAAGCUGGUAGCUCCCGGUUGAUCAUUUCUCUUCCCUUCUGGGGGUACAGGAGGCGGAAACAGGACCUGGUUAGUUUUCUAAGAAGGAAUGGAUUCUCUCCCGGACCCAUUUCAGCCUGGGAUCAACACAGAGCCGCUUAUCAUUGUUGGUAAUAAAUCUGCAAAGGAGAAAUGUGCUUUUAGUGCCCAGUCUGGAGGCUGCCGUGGACCAGGGAAAAGAAAACAAGGGGCCCCGGUGGCAUAAAGCCCACACCCCGUCUGCCCACAAGGGAUCCAUCGGCCCUUUGGCAGUGCUCCCGAGAGAGCCAGGACCAUUCACAGCAGAGAGCGUAGAGAAGGACAGCUCUCGCCCAAGACUUUGGGGAUGGACCUUUCCCACCCCUUGUAAACUGGGCCUCUCUUCCCCCUUGACAGCAGGAAGAACGCAACCUCCUUGGGGCAGAGACCUGCCUUGGGCAGACUGACCGCCCCGCCCCCCCCAACAGACUUACACUUCUCAUUGGAGAAGGAGGCUUCAGAAUCUGGUGGCGGGUCUUGUGCUCAAAGCCCUGCAAGAAAAAGGUUCAAGAACAAGCCAGUCACAGGCCUGCCUGCGACCUCGGAGGAGCUGCUGCCAGUCUGGGAAGACAAACCUGAGCGGAAGAAGGCAGCUUCCCAUGUGCCGAGGUUCCGCAGAGGAGUGGUGGGGUGGAGAUAUAGGCACAAGGCUGGCAGGAAGCCCAGCCUCCAUUUUGCCCCCUUGGAGGGAGCAGAGAGAAGGACGGAGGCUCCCCCCCUUGGAAAGUGAGGCUCAGUCCCUGGGAUCUCAUGGAAAGAACUCGGGGAAGAAAUAUUGGCCAACGCCCUGCCAGGGAAUUCCGGGACUGGCUGUCCCCCGGGGCAGACUGUGGAGACCCUUUGUUCCUCCACCUUUGUUCAAGUGGAGAAUGUAAGCUCCUUGGGGCAGGGAUACAUCUUAGGGAGACUUACACAGGAAAACUGGUGUGUCAGUUAUUGUGGCCUCCAGUUCCUGUGGCGCUGGGCCCACAGAUGGAUCUGCAACGAAACAGUCAGCAUCAGGAGCUUUCCCAGACAGCAGGUUCACCGCAGGUUUGCUGCGAGGCUUUACUGCUUGUUCAAGUUUGCCCAAACUAACCGAUGGGAAGAGUGGAUUUUUUAAAUAAACCCCAGAUAUACAUUGGGCUAAGCAGCAGUGCGCAAUGAAAAACCCGAAUCGUGUAUGGAGUGUUCCCAGAAAGCUUGCAGGGGCUUCAUUCUGGGUGACGGCAGGAAGAAUGCAUCCUCCUUGGGCCAGAGACCUUCCUUGGGUGGACUGACCGACCCCCCGCCAACAGACGUACACUUCUCAUUGUUGCCGGUGGCUUCAGACUCUGGUGGCAGAGGGACCACAGCAAUGGGAUAUCCUCCUCACAGUCCUGCAAGAAAAAGGUUCGAGAGCAAGCCAGUCACGGGAGGGUUGGAUCUGUGUUGAGAAAGGAGGGCUGGGCUCAGGUUCGGUCUGAGGGCAGGAGAAGCCUCCGCCCCUGAAGGAGGAGCCCCCUGCGCUCCUGAUUGGCCAGGGUGAGAAGGGCAGCCAAUGGGCAGAGAGCCAGGACCAUUCACAGUAGAGAGCAUGGAGAAGGACAGCACUCGCCCAAGACUUUGGGGAUGGACCUUUCCCACCCCUUGUAAACUGGGCCUCCCUUCCCCUUGAUGGUAGGAAGAAUGCAGAGUAAGAAGCUCUGUAUCUGGAGGUGACAGGGGCGUUUAUACAGGCCUCUGUGUCAAUCUCCCAACCCGCUUCCGCCCCAAGUCCCGCCCACCGCUGGAAGUACUCACGCUUUGCUGCUGGCGCACUGUGUUCUUCCUCACCUGGGCCCGGUGGUGGAUCUGCAGGCGUCUCCGGAAGUUCUGGAUAGCUCCCCGCACCUCUCUGUGGCUGUACUAGCUCGCUUUUCAUAACUGCACGAUGCCACGUCACACGCUUUCUCCUGCUCCAUUGCCCCACCCCUCGUGACCACCUGCUCUCUCGACAUCUUUCUCCUACCCUUACACUUCUCAUGGGAGCAGGCGGCUUCUGUUUCUGAAUCUGGCGGCGGAGCCAUCUCAGCAUGCAUAUCGUCUGAGACUUAUGCGGAGAAACCGCUGGGUUACUUCCCGUGGCCUCCAUUCCCUGUGCCUGCUGAUGGAUCUGCAACGAAAGAUUCAGCAUCAGGAGCUUUCCCAGACAGCAGGUUCACCGCAGGUCUGCUGCGAGGCUUUACUGCUUGUUCAAGUUUGCCCAAACUAACCGAUGGGGAAAGCGGAUUUUUUAAAACCCCAGAUAUAAAUUGGUCUAAGCACCAGUGUGCAAUGAAAAACCCGAAUCGUUCAUAAUGUUCCCGGAUAGCUUGCAGGGGCUUCUUUCUGGAUGACGUGUGAACACACACCUACCCUUCCAAAGUAAAAUGAGCGCCUGGGAACACCCCAGGUCAGUGACGGGAGGCUCAGCUCUGCAUUGCCUGGGAAUGACCACUAUUUCUGGGAAGAAGGGGGGGCACAGGUUGGCCCACAUCUUUCCAAGAGGCCUCCAACUGGGGCAUCCUGGCACUGGAAGCUUUGCUCCCCUUCCUCUCUGUUUCACCUUGCCACAGCUCACCCAUUUAGGCAGUGUCUCCCCAGCCAAAACAGGCAGAUCUAAACCAUCUCUUGCGUCCCUAGCCCCCACAGGCAGUUCCUUCGUCUUGAUUCAGCUUCAGUUUAUUAUCCCUCAUCCAGCCCAUUUCCACCUGCAAGCAGUCAUUUAGGGAAGUUAUGCCAUUUCCUGAUGAGGUCAAUAUGGAGAAAUUGAUCUGGGUGUCAUCAGCAUACUGAUAACACCUGCUGCAUUAACCGGAUCUCCUGAUGAUCUCCCCCAGCCGUUUCAUGUGGGGCAGCUCCGCCCCAAACUCUGCCUAGCCCUCAAUCCCGCACUGAAGACUGAGUGCUAUUUCCUGCUAACUGGGCAAAGACACACCUUUUUUAAAGUGGUAAUUCUCUUUAUUUAGCAGGCGGAGAGCAACUGGCCCUCUCCACCCCCAGCACAGCAUCCCUCCAGUGGAUGUUACUGGGGUCUGUCUUAAGUUUCUUUUUAGAUUUAGAUCCCUUUGGGGACAGGGAACCAUCUGAUUCAUUGAUUGGUUGAUUGAUCGAUUGAUUGAUCUUUGUAAACUGCUUUGGAAACUUUUGCUGAAAAGUGGUAUAGAAAUAUUUGUUGCUGUUGAAGGGCUGGCACCAGAGGCUGGCUGGCUUUGGCGGCCGCCUGCAGGUUGGCCAUUCCACCGGUGCACCUCCCUUCCUUAGAAGCCCCAGAGACCCAGAGUUCAUGAGAGUCUCUGGGACCGGGCUGGUGUAAUUAAUGGCCACAGGCGUAGAUGAUCAGAUAAUCAGGAAAGAGAGUCCACAAUGCUAACGACAGCAGCAUGUGGAAAGAAUGGGUUGAUGGGAAAUCGAAGGAAGCUUGUUGGUGGGAAGAAGGCACGAGGCCUCCCGAGGAAGGAAAGCAGAGUGAUGGCUUGCUGGGGGGCGGUCUUGGUUCUUUCAGGCCAGAUAUGUUGGCGGGGGGGAUGGCAGUUAAGCACCUCUCUCCCGGCACCUUCCUCGCACCCGGUCCAACCCACCAUGGCAUGUGCUUGAACCCCAUGCCAAGCCGAGGGCCUGGGGAGCAGUUUUGUGCGUCUUAGGGAAUGUGCAGUGACCAGUUGGUUGCAAUAUUAAUUCAUUAAUAUUGUUUUAAUGCUCUUCUAAAAUAUUGUUUAAAAAUGUUUAAAUUGUUGUAAUGUUUCAAAAAUUUUUUAGUUUUUAACUGUUUUACUUUCUGUUUUUAUUCUGUUGUAAACCACCCAGAGAUGUAGGUUUGGGGCGGUAUAAAAAUGUGUUAAACAAACAAAUAAAAGAGUCAAGGGAAGUGACUGAAUCCGGAGGGAAAACCUCUAACAGGCCUGCUCAACUUAGUCCCCCCUCACCAGCUGUUUUUGGACUACAACUCCCAUAAUCCCCAGCCACAUUGGCCAACAGCCAGGAGUUAUGGGACUUCUAGGUCCACAUCUGCAGGAGGGCUGAAGUUGAGCAGCCCUGACCCAUAAAGAUGGAGGUUGAACUGCAGCCCUCAAAUCAAGGGGGCAUGCACAGUGGUGCUUUCCCCCCUGGACUUUGGGGCCCAAGUCCAGGGCCUCCACACCCCUUGGGGCCCCCAAGUCGUCUCUAGUCUGUCCAGGGUGGUGUAGUCACCGCUGGCCCACACUGCGCCAGGAGGCCGAGUGUGAUUGUGACCCGUGCUGGAGCCAGAGGGGGGAAUGGGGAAAGAGAUGUGUGGGGUCUCUGUCUCUCAAUUUCUCUCAUACACCCCACCCCCAAUAGAAUGUCUUCGGUGAUGCUCUUUUUGGAGGAGCCGUAUAGAAAUCAAAUCAAUACUAAAGAGUAACUUCACAUAGGGGAUGCACCUCUCUCCCAACACCUUCCUCGCACCUGGUGCAGCCCACUAAGGCAUGUGCUUGUGCCCCAGGCCAAGUUUGAUUUUGGGCCCCCGCCAGCUGAGACGUGCAGAGCCCCGGAUUUCACUUGAGGCCUGCUGGGUACUCAUCCAGUGCAGAUGGGUAGGCCAUGGCAGCCAGUGCAGAGGGGCCGUGAAUGGCUAGCCGGAACUGCUUUGGGGGUCCAGUGGCAGAGAGUUCCCAAGUUGAUGCUGGGGGUAAAAGCGUAGCACUUCUGAGAGGGAAAGAGGCAGCUCUGAAUGUGGAAACCCAGCCUGAGGCCAUUUCUUUCUGGAAAGGAAUGCUGAGGCAGGCAAUUUGUCUUCUCGGGAAUCUCUUGCAGUGCUCACACUUCUAGUCUCCCAUGCAAAUGCAAACCAGGGCAGACCCUGCUUAGCUAAGGGGACAAGUCAUGCUUGCUCCCCAAAGACCAGCUCUCCUCUCCAUUUGCAUGAAGUAUUGGCACAGUUGGUUAAAAUCAUUCAUGUCAUCAAGUGUAAUGCUUUGAAUUGGAGGUGGUUCACAAUUUUGUGUGAUGAGAUGGGGUCUGAGCAUCCUCGUUUAUUAUUCCACACAGAAGUAUGCUGGCUGUCUCAAGGAAAUGUUUUGUUGAGGUUCUUUGAAUUAAGGGAAGAAAUCAAAAUGUGUUUGAUACCAAAGAAGUGCAAUAAUUAACCAUAUGCAUGCGAAACGUAGAAUGGAUUGUAAAAGUUGCAUACUUACCUGAUAUUUUUAAUUCGGUUCUGUAUGUGAUUGAUGUUUUAUUAUAUUCUAGCAACUGUUAACCUCUUGUAGGAUUCCUUUUAUUCUACUAUUUCUAAUUGAUUUGUAAACUGACCAUGGGUCGUAAAUAUCUAAAUUCUCUUAAUUUCAGUUUACAAGGCCCACUGACAACAGUUUUUACUACAGGUAAUAAAAAUUUGUGCAUUUAAAAAAAGAA